rnacentral:rRNA from 1 species
ACCCGUGUGAUGCUCAGUACGGCGAGUGAGCGGCAAAAGCUCAAAUUUGAAAUCUAGCACCUUCGGUGUUCGAGUUGUAAUUUGAAGAUGGUAACCUUGGGUUUGGCUCUUGUCUAUGUUCCUUGGAACAGGACGUCAUAGAGGGUGAGAAUCCCGUCUGAUGAGAUGCCCAUUCCUAUGUAAGGUGCUAUCGAAGAGUCGAGUUGUUUGGGAAUGCAGCUCUAAGUGGGUGGUAAAUUCCAUCUAAAGCUAAAUAUUGGCGAGAGACCGAUAGCGAACAAGUACAGUGAUGGAAAGAUGAAAAGAACUUUGAAAAGAGAGUGAAAAAGUACGUGAAAUUGUUGAAAGGGAAGGGCAUUAGAUCAGACUUGGUGUUUUACGAUUAUCUUCUCUUCUUGAGUUGUGCACUCGUAUUUCACUGGGCCAGCAUCGAUUCGGAUGGCAAGAUAAUGGCAGUUGAAUGUGGCUUCACUUCGGUGGAGUGUUAUAGCUUCUGCUGAUAUUGCCUGUCUGGAUCGAGGGCUGCGUCUUUUGACUAGGAUGCUGGCGUAAUGAUCUAAUGCCGCCCGUCUUGAAACACGGACCC